AACUCAAACUCCUCUCUCUGGGAAAACGCGGUGCUUGCUCCUCCCGGAGUGGCCUUGGCAGGGUGUUGGAGCCCUCGGUCUGCCCCGUCCGGUCUCUGGGGCCAAGGCUGGGUUUCCCUCAUGUAUGGCAAGAGCUCUACUCGUGCGGUGCUUCUUCUCCUUGGCAUACAGCUCACAGCUCUUUGGCCUAUAGCAGCUGUGGAAAUUUAUACCUCCCGGGUGCUGGAGGCUGUUAAUGGGACAGAUGCUCGGUUAAAAUGCACUUUCUCCAGCUUUGCCCCUGUGGGUGAUGCUCUAACAGUGACCUGGAAUUUUCGUCCUCUAGACGGGGGACCUGAGCAGUUUUAUUUUUCUUAGCAGCAAGCACAAGGUUAAGCUCGGAAACAAUUCUUGGGACAGAGACUGAGAGGCCGUUGAAGGGGAAAGCAAGUGACAGAGCUGCAGACAGGACAGUUGGGUUUGCUGGUGUUUCACUU
rnacentral:lncRNA from 1 species